rnacentral:rRNA from 1 species
GGGUUGUGAGGUUAAGCGACUAAGCGUACACGGUGGAUGCCCUGGCAGUCAGAGGCGAUGAAGGACGUGCUAAUCUGCGAUAAGCGUCGGUGAGGUGAUAUGAACCGUUAUAACCGGCGAUUUCGAAUGGGAAACCCAGUGUGUUUCGACACACUAUCAUUAACUGAAUCCAUAGGUUAAUGGGCGAACCGGGAACUGAAACAUCUAAGUACCCGAGGAAGAAAUCAACCGAGAUUCCCCAGUAGCGGCGAGCGAACGGGAGGAGCAGAGCCUGAAUCAGUGUGUGUUAGUGGAAGCGUCUGGAAGGCGCGCGAUACAGGUGACAGCCCGUACACAAAAAUGCACAUAUUGUGAGCUCGAUGAGUAGGGCGGGACACGUGGUAUCCUGUCUGAAUAUGGGGGGACCAUCCUCCAAGGCUAAAUACUCCUGACUGACCGAUAGUGAACCAGUACCGUGAGGAAAGGCGAAAGAACCCCGGCGAGGGGUGAAAAGAACCUGAAACCGUGUACGUACAAGCAGUGGGAGCCUCUUAAUGGGGUGACUGCGUACCUUUUGUAUAAUGGGUCAGCGACUUAUAUUCUGUAGCAAGGUUAACCGAAUAGGGGAGCCGAAGGGAAACCGAGUCUUAACUGGGCGUUAAGUUGCAGGGUAUAGACCCGAAACCCGGUGAUCUAGCCAUGGGCAGGUUGAAGGUUGGGUAACACUAACUGGAGGACCGAACCGACUAAUGUUGAAAAAUUAGCGGAUGACUUGUGGCUGGGGGUGAAAGGCCAAUCAAACCGGGAGAUAGCUGGUUCUCCCCGAAAGCUAUUUAGGUAGCGCCUCGUGAAUUCAUCUCCGGGGGUAGAGCACUGUUUCGGCAAGGGGGUCAUCCCGACUUACCAACCCGAUGCAAACUGCGAAUACCGGAGAAUGUUAUCACGGGAGACACACGGCGGGUGCUAACGUCCGUCGUGAAGAAACAACCCAGACCGCCAGCUAAGGUCCCAAAGUCAUGGUUAAGUGGGAAACGAUGUGGGAAGGCCCAGACAGCCAGGAUGUUGGCUUAGAAGCAGCCAUCAUUUAAAGAAAGCGUAAUAGCUCACUGGUCGAGUCGGCCUGCGCGGAAGAUGUAACGGGGCUAAACCAUGCACCGAAGCUGCGGCAGCGACACUAUGUGUUGUUGGGUAGGGGAGCGUUCUGUAAGCCUGUGAAGGUGGCCUGUGAGGGUUGCUGGAGGUAUCAGAAGUGCGAAUGCUGACAUAAGUAACGAUAAAGCGGGUGAAAAGCCCGCUCGCCGGAAGACCAAGGGUUCCUGUCCAACGUUAAUCGGGGCAGGGUGAGUCGACCCCUAAGGCGAGGCCGAAAGGCGUAGUCGAUGGGAAACAGGUUAAUAUUCCUGUACUUGGUGUUACUGCGAAGGGGGGACGGAGAAGGCUAUGUUGGCCGGGCGACGGUUGUCCCGGUUUAAGCGUGUAGGCUGGUUUUCCAGGCAAAUCCGGAAAAUCAAGGCUGAGGCGUGAUGACGAGGCACUACGGUGCUGAAGCGACAAAUGCCCUGCUUCCACAGGAAAAGCCUCUAAGCAUCAGGUAACAUCAAAUCGUACCCCAAACCGACACAGGUGGUCAGGUAGAGAAUACCAAGGCGCUUGAGAGAACUCGGGUGAAGGAACUAGGCAAAAUGGUGCCGUAACUUCGGGAGAAGGCACGCUGAUAUGUAGGUGAAGCGACUUGCUCGUGGAGCUGAAAUCAGUCGAAGAUACCAGCUGGCUGCAACUGUUUAUUAAAAACACAGCACUGUGCAAACACGAAAGUGGACGUAUACGGUGUGACGCCUGCCCGGUGCCGGAAGGUUAAUUGAUGGGGUUAGCGGUAACGCGAAGCUCUUGAUCGAAGCCCCGGUAAACGGCGGCCGUAACUAUAACGGUCCUAAGGUAGCGAAAUUCCUUGUCGGGUAAGUUCCGACCUGCACGAAUGGCGUAAUGAUGGCCAGGCUGUCUCCACCCGAGACUCAGUGAAAUUGAACUCGCUGUGAAGAUGCAGUGUACCCGCGGCAAGACGGAAAGACCCCGUGAACCUUUACUAUAGCUUGACACUGAACAUUGAGCCUUGAUGUGUAGGAUAGGUGGGAGGCUUUGAAGUGUGGACGCCAGUCUGCAUGGAGCCGACCUUGAAAUACCACCCUUUAAUGUUUGAUGUUCUAACGUGGGCCCCUUACCGGGGUUGCGGACAGUGUCUGGUGGGUAGUUUGACUGGGGCGGUCUCCUCCUAAAGAGUAACGGAGGAGCACGAAGGUUGGCUAAUCCUGGUCGGACAUCAGGAGGUUAGUGCAAUGGCAUAAGCCAGCUUGACUGCGAGCGUGACGGCGCGAGCAGGUGCGAAAGCAGGUCAUAGUGAUCCGGUGGUUCUGAAUGGAAGGGCCAUCGCUCAACGGAUAAAAGGUACUCCGGGGAUAACAGGCUGAUACCGCCCAAGAGUUCAUAUCGACGGCGGUGUUUGGCACCUCGAUGUCGGCUCAUCACAUCCUGGGGCUGAAGUAGGUCCCAAGGGUAUGGCUGUUCGCCAUUUAAAGUGGUACGCGAGCUGGGUUUAGAACGUCGUGAGACAGUUCGGUCCCUAUCUGCCGUGGGCGCUGGAGAACUGAGGGGGGCUGCUCCUAGUACGAGAGGACCGGAGUGGACGCAUCACUGGUGUUCGGGUUGUCAUGCCAAUGGCACUGCCCGGUAGCUAAAUGCGGAAGAGAUAAGUGCUGAAAGCAUCUAAGCACGAAACUUGCCCCGAGAUGAGUUCUCCCCUGACUCCUUGAGAGUCCUGAAGGAACGUUGAAGACGACGACGUUGAUAGGCCGGGUGUGUAAGCGCAGCGAUGCGUUGAGCUAACCGGUACUAAUGAACCGUGAGGCUUAACCUUACAACGCCGAAG